GACGAACGCUGUCGGCGUGCUUAACACAUGCAAGUCGAACGGAAAGGCCCUGCUUUUGUGGGGUGCUCGAGUGGCGAACGGGUGAGUAACACGUGAGUAACCUGCCCUUGACUUUGGGAUAACUUCAGGAAACUGGGGCUAAUACCGGAUAGGAGCUCCUGCUGCAUGGUGGGGGUUGGAAAGUUUCGGCGGUUGGGGAUGGACUCGCGGCUUAUCAGCUUGUUGGUGGGGUAGUGGCUUACCAAGGCUUUGACGGGUAGCCGGCCUGAGAGGGUGACCGGCCACAUUGGGACUGAGAUACGGCCCAGACUCCUACGGGAGGCAGCAGUGGGGAAUAUUGCACAAUGGGCGGAAGCCUGAUGCAGCAACGCCGCGUGCGGGAUGACGGCCUUCGGGUUGUAAACCGCUUUCGCCUGUGACGAAGCGUGAGUGACGGUAAUGGGUAAAGAAGCACCGGCUAACUACGUGCCAGCAGCCGCGGUGAUACGUAGGGUGCGAGCGUUGUCCGGAUUUAUUGGGCGUAAAGGGCUCGUAGGUGGUUGAUCGCGUCGGAAGUGUAAUCUUGGGGCUUAACCCUGAGCGUGCUUUCGAUACGGGUUGACUUGAGGAAGGUAGGGGAGAAUGGAAUUCCUGGUGGAGCGGUGGAAUGCGCAGAUAUCAGGAGGAACACCAGUGGCGAAGGCGGUUCUCUGGGCCUUUCCUGACGCUGAGGAGCGAAAGCGUGGGGAGCGAACAGGCUUAGAUACCCUGGUAGUCCACGCUGUAAACGGUGGGUACUAGGUGUGGGGUCCAUUCCACGGGUUCCGUGCCGUAGCUAACGCUUUAAGUACCCCGCCUGGGGAGUACGGCCGCAAGGCUAAAACUCAAAGGAAUUGACGGGGCCCCGCACAAGCGGCGGAGCAUGCGGAUUAAUUCGAUGCAACGCGUAGAACCUUACCUGGGUUUGACAUGGAUCGGGAGUGCUCAGAGAUGGGUGUGCCUCUUUUGGGGUCGGUUCACAGGUGGUGCAUGCCUGUCGUCAGCUCGUGUCGUGAGAUGUUGGGUUAAGUCCCGCAACGAGCGCAACCCUUGUUCACUGUUGCCAGCACGUUAUGGUGGGGACUCAGUGGAGACCGCCGGGGUCAACUCGGAGGAAGGUGGGGAUGACGUCAAGUCCUCAUGCCCCUUAUGUCCAGGGCUUCACGCAUGCUACAAUGGCUGGUACAGAGAGUGGCGAGCCUGUGAGGGUGAGCGAAUCUCGGAAAGCCGGUCUCAGUUCGGAUUGGGGUCUGCAACUCGACCUCAUGAAGUCGGAGUCGCUAAUAAUCGCAGAUCAGCAACGCUGCGGUGAAUACGUUCCCGGGGCU
rnacentral:rRNA from 1 species